CUGGGUAUUUACCUUAUCAACUAUCAGAUCAAUGGCGGGUUCUAUUUGAUUUGGCACCUGAAUUCGCACCUGAAUCGGACCGCACUCAAUAUUUGUCAGGCUAUUGUUCUCUUGUUCCCUCGAAUCUAUGGAGUAAGACAUCGAUUUGUCAAUAAGAUUAAUUAUGUUUAUUGCAUUGCAUAAUGGGCUUCCUUGAAAAGCAUUG
rnacentral:lncRNA from 1 species